UACGGAGGGUGCAAGCGUUAUCCGGAUUCACUGGGUUUAAAGGGUGCGUAGGAGGGUAGGUAAGUCAGUGGUGAAAUCUUCGAGCUUAACUCGGAAACUGCCGUUGAUACUAUCUGUCUUGAAUACCGUGGAGGUGAGCGGAAUAUGUCAUGUAGCGGUGAAAUGCUUAGAUAUGACAUAGAACACCAAUUGCGAAGGCAGCUCGCUACACGAAUAUUGACUCUGAGGCACGAAAGCGUGGGGAUCAAACAGG
rnacentral:rRNA from 1 species